rnacentral:rRNA from 1 species
GACGAACGCUGGCGGCGUGCUUAACACAUGCAAGUCGAACGAUGAAGCUAGAGCUUGCUCUGGUGGAUUAGUGGCGAACGGGUGAGUAACACGUGAGUAACCUGCCCCGAACUCUGGGAUAACUGCUGGAAACGGUAGCUAAUACCGGAUAUGACCAAUGAAGGCAUCUUCUGUUGGUGGAAAGAAUUUCGGUUCGGGAUGGACUCGCGGCCUAUCAGCGUGUUGGUGAGGUAACGGCUCACCAAGGCGACGACGGGUAGCCGACCUGAGAGGGUGAGAGGGCAUGCGGGGCCUGGGACACGACCCAAGCUCCUAUGGGACGCAGCAGUGGGUAAUAUUGCGCAAUGCGCGCAGGCCUGAUGCAGCAACGCCGCGUGAGGAACGACGGCCUUCUGGUUGUAAACCUCUUUUAGUAGGGAAGAAGCGAAAGUGACAGUACCUGCAGAAAAAGCACCGGCUAAGUGCGUGCCAGCCACCGCCGUAA